AUGACUGCUACUAAACUACGUUUAUAUAUAUUCCACAGUACUACUACUAAACUACGAUUAUAUAUAUUCCACAUGACUGCUACUAAACUACGUUUAUAUAUAUUCCACAGGACUACUACUAAACUACAUUUGUAUAUAUUCCACAUGACUACUACUGAACUACGUUUGUAUAUAUUCCACAUGACUACUACUAAACUACGAUUAUAUAUAUUCCACAUGACUGCUACUAAACUACAUUUAUAUAUAUUCCACAGGACUACUACUAAACUACAUUUAUAUAUAUUCCACAGGACUACUACUAAACUACAUUUAUAUAUAUUCCACAUGACUACUACUAAACUACGAUUAUAUAUAUUCCACAUGACUGCUACUAAACUACGAUUAUAUAUAUUCCACAGGACUACUACUAAACUACAUUUAUAUAUAUUCCACAUGACUACUACUAAACUACGAUUAUAUAUAUUCCACAUGACUGCUACUAAACUACAUUUAUAUAUAUUCCACAGGACUACUACUAAACUACAUUUAUAUAUAUUCCACAUGACUACUACUAAACUACGAUUAUAUAUAUUCCACAUGACUGCUACUAAACUACGAUUAUAUAUAUUCCACAGGACUACUACUAAACUACAUUUAUAUAUAUUCCACAUGACUACUACUAAACUACGAUUAUAUAUAUUCCACAUGACUGCUACUAAACUACAUUUAUAUAUAUUCCACAUGACUACUACUAAACUACAUUUAUAUAUAUUCCACAUGACUACUACUAAACUACGAUUAUAUAUAUUCCACAGGACUACUACUAAACUACAUUUAUAUAUAUUCCACAUGACUACUACUAAACUACGAUUAUAUAUAUUCCACAUGACUGCUACUAAACUACAUUUAUAUAUAUUCCACAGGACUACUACUAAACUACAUUUAUAUAUAUUCCACAUGACUACUACUAAACUACGAUUAUAUAUAUUCCACAUGACUGCUACUAAACUACGAUUAUAUAUAUUCCACAGGACUACUACUAAACUACAUUUAUAUAUAUUCCACAUGACUACUACUAAACUACGAUUAUAUAUAUUCCACAUGACUGCUACUAAACUACAUUUAUAUAUAUUCCACAUGACUGCUACUAAACUACAUUUAUAUAUAUUCCACAGGACUACUACUAAACUACAUUUAUAUAUAUUCCACAGGACUACUACUAAACUACAUUUAUAUAUAUUCCACAUGACUGCUACUAAACUACAUUUAUAUAUAUUCCACAUGACUACUACUAAACUACGAUUAUAUAUAUUCCACAUGACUGCUACUAAACUACGAUUAUAUACAUUCCACAUGACUACUACUAAACUACAUUUAUAUAUAUUCCACAUGACUACUACUAAACUACGAUUAUAUAUAUUCCACAUGACUGCUACUAAACUACAUUUAUAUAUAUUCCACAGGACUACUACUAAACUACAUUUAUAUAUAUUCCACAUGACUACUACUAAACUACGAUUAUAUAUAUUCCACAUGACUGCUACUAAACUACAUUUAUAUAUAUUCCACAUGACUGCUACUAAACUACAUUUAUAUAUAUUCCACAUGACUGCUACUAAACUACAUUUAUAUAUAUUCCACAUGACUGCUACUAAACUACAUUUAUAUAUAUUCCACAUGACUGCUACUAAACUACAUUUAUAUAUAUUCCACAUGACUGCUACUAAACUACGAUUAUAUAUAUUCCACAGGACUACUACUAAACUACAUUUAUAUAUAUUCCACAUGACUACUACUAAACUACGAUUAUAUAUAUUCCACAUGACUGCUACUAAACUACGAUUAUAUAUAUUCCACAGGACUACUACUAAACUACAUUUAGAUAUAUAUUCCACAUGA
rnacentral:lncRNA from 1 species